CGCAGGGUGGGCAAGUCCGGUCCAAGCCGCGUGGCUCAUAACCACGAAAUCGCAGGUUCAAAUCCUGCCCCUGCAACCA
rnacentral:tRNA from 1 species